UGAAACACGUUAGCGAUGUUUAUUUACUAGACUAGUGCCUGGCUCAGAGCAUGGGCUCUGUAGACACUGGUAGAAUACAUGCACGGUGCCUUGCUCACUUCAUUUAUUUAUGAUCUUCCUCCCUCCCUGGUCUGUGGGCCCUGCGAGAGCAGGGCCGGUGCAUUCUCGGUGCCCAGCACAGCCGGCCUGUCAUCAGUGCUGCGGGAGGGACAGGAGGGGUACCUGCAGUGAGGCACAGGCCACGCCCCCUGCACGCCGACUGGGUUAAUCCUCUACGGCUCAGGGUCCUGCAGGUGACCAAGGUGGAGCUGGGAUUUGAAGCCGAGCCUCUGACUCCCAAAGCCAGACGGGUCUAGGUUGUUCUGCUCAUUCCAAGCCGGGCCACCGCCUGUAUCAGGUUCUCCUGCAAUGUUGACGUCAGAAGCCUCUUCAUUUACUUGGGGGCCAUUACAUUAGCAGUGAGGAUAACAUUACUAAGGUGCACCAAGGGCGGGCCGUGUUCCCUUAGCCUGGCUUUGUUUAAGCCUCCCAGUAAUCUGGGGAGAAAAAGUAGGAGAAGGACCGGAAUCUUCCAUGCAGUGGGCACCCGCCACCCACCAGUCUCCAUGAAGAUGCCCCAUCACCCCCAGGAUCUCAUUGGAGGCUCACAAAGCGGUUUGUCUGACUACUACUGGAAGCCUGGAAGCACUCACAAUACCAGGGCUUGGAAAGCAGCCGACAGAAUCAUGCAUGUGCAUGUACACACAUGCAUGUGUGUGAGUGUGUGUGCACACAUGAGCACAUAUGUGCAUGUGUCUGUGUGUGUGCAUAUGUGCGUGUAUGUGCGCAGACACCACCAGCCUCCCUUUGCAGGGGUGCAGUACUGGAGGACCGAGAGGGGCCACACAUGCAUGCGGCUGGUGGGGGCUGAGCUGAGCAUUUCUGUCACUUUCUCCUUCUGGUGACUGUUCCCCUCCCCAGAACAGGAGUCUGGCUCCAGGUACAGCUAGGC
rnacentral:lncRNA from 1 species